CAAAAACAUAGCCUGUAGCAAUACAAGUAUUACAGGUCCAACCUGCCCAGUGAAAUAUAUUUUAAACGGCCGCGGUAUCCUAACCGUGCAAAGGUAGCGCAAUCACUUGUCCCCUAAAUAGGGACCAGUAUGAAUGGUCCAAUGAGGAUUUAACCUGUCUCUCACAUCCAAUCAAUGAAACUGAUCUUCUGGUACAAAAGCCAGAGUAGUAUCAUAAGACGAGAAGACCCUGUGGAGCUUCAAACUAACAAUUACCAGCACUAAUUGCCAGUUUUAAGUUGGGGCAACUUUGGAAAUAAAAUAACUUCCAAGAUAAGCAGGCACCAACCCUGAACUAAGGUCAACACACCAAAGCUAGCCCCUGACCCAGUAAUACUGAUCAACGAACCAAGUUACCCCAGGGAUAACAGCGCUAUCUUCCUUAAGAGUCCAUAUCGACAGGAAGGAUUACGACCUCGAUGUUGGAUCAGGACACCCAAGUGGUGCAGCCGCCACUAAUGGUUCGUUCGUUCAACGAUUAAAGUCCCACGUGAUCUGAGUU
rnacentral:rRNA from 1 species